ensembl:lncRNA LINC03076 long intergenic non-protein coding RNA 3076
GGUAGGCAGCUUCCCGCUCCUCGUCUUGGGACCUAAACCCAGGAAGUCAAAUGUCCUUUUCUAGCAGGUCGCCUGGUUAGAGGCCGUGGACGAAGCGGUCCAGGCACAGCCAGCUGCAGGGCGCGGCCUCGGCGGCGCUGCUCGUGGCCCUGGUCAGUGAGCGCACUCACUCCUGGACUAAGCUCUAUGCAACUCAUUUUCAUCUAGCAUUACCUCUCCAAAACCUGAAUCUCCACAAGAAAGCCACACAGCAAUUAACCAGUGUUGCAAGAACUGCUUCUGUAAUAAAGGUGGGAAGACAAAUUGAUGCAACCCUCUUGAAAAGCAAUCUGGCAAUAUGAACCAAGAGCCAUGAAAAGGCUUAUGCUAUUAUAAUUAAAUGGCUGUAAUGUUGGCUGUAAAUAUGAAAUUUUCUUUCACACACCAAUGUUUUCAAGAAUGGCAUAUUCACAUGCAGUAUGUGGUAAGUUGCAUCAUUUCUCUUUGAACUGGGCUGAUAAUUUUCAAGCUAACAAACCUGUUCCUCCAUGAAAAUGAAAGAAGCAGUAAAGGAUGCUAACAAAGCUAUUUCUUUGGACAAUCUGAACCUGACGGAGUCUUACUCUGUCGCCCAGGCAGGAGUGCAAUGGCACAAUCUUGGCUCACCACAACCUCCGCCUCCUGGGUUCAAGUGACUCUCCUGCCUGGCCAUAGAAGCAAACACAAACAUAGAGGAAUUGGCUUUGGGCAGAUGGAAGGACCUCAGAGAAAAGAAACAAAGGAAAGAAAACUGGAUGGAUAAAGGUUUGUAGAAAUACUAUUCACAGGAAGCAAAUAGGAAUUCCUUAUCGCUAAACAGACACUAAGUCAAUUGGGCAGAAGAUAUUCCAUAUUACUUUGUAACCUGUUCCCCUAUACUUGCCUUAUGUUGAAGACUUUAGUUGGUGACCACCCUUGAAUGCCAGAAAUAGCAAGUUAUUUAUUGUUAAACAUAUACAUGCAUGUAUC